rnacentral:rRNA from 1 species
GACGAACGCUGGCGGCGUGCUUAACACAUGCAAGUCGAACGGAAAGGCCCUGCUUUUGUGGGGUGCUCGAGUGGCGAACGGGUGAGUAACACGUGAGUAACCUGCCCUUGACUUUGGGAUAACUUCAGGAAACUGGGGCUAAUACCGGAUAGGAGCUCCUGCUGCAUGGUGGGGGUUGGAAAGUUUCGGCGGUUGGGGAUGGACUCGCGGCUUAUCAGCUUGUUGGUGGGGUAGUGGCUUACCAAGGCUUUGACGGGUAGCCGGCCUGAGAGGGUGACCGGCCACAUUGGGACUGAGAUACGGCCCAGACUCCUACGGGAGGCAGCAGUGGGGAAUAUUGCACAAUGGGCGGAAGCCUGAUGCAGCAACGCCGCGUGCGGGAUGACGGCCUUCGGGUUGUAAACCGCUAUCGCCUGUGACGAAGCGCGAGUGACGGUAAUGGGUAAAGAAGCACCGGCUAACUACGUG